rnacentral:rRNA from 1 species
GACGAACGCUGGCGGCGUGCUUAACACAUGCAAGUCGAACGGAAAGGCCCUGCUUUUGUGGGUUGCUCGGGUGGCGAACGGGUGGUUAACACGUGAUUACCCUGCCCUUUACUUUGGGUUAACUUCAGGAACCUGGGGCUAAUACCGGAUAGGAGCUCCUGCUGCAUGUUGGGGGUUGGAAAGUUUCGGCGGUUGGGGAUGGACUCGCGGCUUAUCAGCUUGUUGGUGGGGUAGUGGCUUACCAAGGCUUUGACGGGUAGCCGGCCUGAGAGGGUGACCGGCCACAUUGGGACUGAGAUACGGCCCAGACUCCUACGGGAGGCAGCAGUGGGGAAUAUUGCACAAUGGGCGGAAGCCUGAUGCAGCAACGCCGCGUGCGGGAUGACGGCCUUCGGGUUGUAAACCGCUUUCGCCUGUGACGAAGCGUGAGUGACGGUAAUGGGUAAAGAAGCACCGGCUAACUACGUG